GACUCUCGGCAACGGAUAUCUCGGCUCACGAUCGAUGAAGAAGUAGCAAAUGCGAUACUUGGUGUGAUUGCAGAAUCCGUGACCAUCGAGUUUUUGAAGCAAGUUGCGCCGAGCAUUCGGUUGAGGGCGUUGCUGGGCGUACGAUACGUCG
rnacentral:rRNA from 11 species